GUUGCAUUUUUAUUUAUACUUUUUCAUUAAAUAAUAGAUAACAAUAAUUUAUAAUGAUAUUGCUAUAUUUUGAUAUAAUUUGCUCUGUGAUCUCGCACACAUUGGCUGGUGUGAAGAAGAACUAUUGAACAGGCUUUGGUUCUAAAUUGAUUCCUUCAUCGAUUACAUAUUUUGAGGUUAUUUCUAUGUAUUAAUUUGAAUAAAUCUUGUUUAUUUUCUUUCUUCCCAUUCACUACUGAAUCCAUCUCGUUUCUAAUUUGCGAAUAUUUUCUGUUGAUAAUAUAGAUUUUAUUUUUGUUUUCUAGGUGGGCAGAUGGUACUAGGCUGUGGUUUCCAUGGUGACUGUAGUAUGAGGCGGAUGGCUUGAUCAGGUGAUUUCUUUGGUGGAUCGGAGAUACAGGCAGUCAUCAGUCCAGGCUGCUCUUCAACUCAGUGGGCAACGUCCUUGGACUCCUGGUGGUCUGCGCGCGGUGGUACGGGCUGUCCCUCUAUGCCAUGGAUGGCGUCCUAGGGCUCCUCCUGGCAUCUGGUGUGGUGCGGGUUGACUCCAAGCUGGCUAUCCCGGGUCUGGCACGGAAACGGGUGUUUGGCCUUCGGCGGAGGGAAUUCUGAGGUGUGAGGUGCAGACAUCUGGACUUCUGGAACGGCAGUGCAUGGGUGUUUCUCCCGCGCAAACUCCUCCAUUCUUGAAGACGCCGAUGUGUUCUCCAGGAAGCGGUGUGGAUCUUCCAUUAUUUAUUGGAUGGUAUAACGAAGCAAGUGCAGUGAAAUGACCACGAAUAUGUGAGGUUAUGUGAAUGAUUACAAAUGGAUGAUGAUCAAAAAUUGAAACAGUGUAAAAAAUUCGUUCAAAUGAAGUAAUACAAAAGUGUGAUUCAAUAAUAUGUGUGAUAAAAAUGUGGAUGAAAUUAGCAAUAUCGUUAACAUAAAACAGUGAAAGAACAUGCAAGAAUAAUGGAUAUCCAAUAAUGCAGGUAUGCUUAUUAUGAUUUAUUAUCCUCAUUAUUGUAAAUGUUUCAAUCUUAGAAGUUCCUGCCG